CUCUGGGUCACCUCCCACCCGUGUUUAUUUACCUUGUUGCUUCGGCGGGCCCGCCUUAACUGGCCGCCGGGGGGCUUACGCCCCCGGGCCCGCGCCCGCCGAAGACACCCUCGAACUCUGUCUGAAGAUUGUAGUCUGAGUGAAAAUAUAAAUUAUUUAAAACUUUCAACAACGGAUCUCUUGGUUCCGGCAUCGAUGAAGAACGCAGCAAAAUGCUAUACGUAAUGUGAAUUGCAAAUUCAGUGAAUCAUCGAGUCUUUGAACGCACAUUGCGCCCCCUGGUAUUCCGGGGGGCAUGCCUGUCCGAGCGUCAUUGCUGCCCUCAAGCACGGCUUGUGUGUUGGGCCCCGUCCUCCGAUUCCGGGGGACGGGCCCGAAAGGGAGCGGCGGCACCGCGUCCGGUCCUCGAGCGUAUGGUGCUUUGUCACCCGCUCUGUAGGGCCGGGCGGCGCUUGCCGAUCAACCCAAAUUCUUAUCCAGGUGGACCUCGGAUCAGGUA
rnacentral:rRNA from 1 species